UGCCUGAUUGUUUUCAUUGCCUCUCCCUCC
rnacentral:piRNA from 1 species